rnacentral:rRNA from 1 species
UACGUAGGGUCCGAGCGUUGUCCGGAAUUACUGGGCGUAAAGCGUGCGCAGGCGGCUUUGCAAGACAGAUGUGAAAUCCCCGGGCUCAACCUGGGAACUGCAUUUGUGACUGCAAGGCUAGAGUACGGCAGAGGGGGAUGGAAUUCCGCGUGUAGCAGUGAAAUGCGUAGAUAUGCGGAGGAACACCAAUGGCGAAGGCAAUCCCCUGGGCCUGUACUGACGCUCAUGCACGAAAGCGUGGGGAGCAAACAGG